AUCUGAAAACAUCCCAUAAUAGUUCAUGUUAAGAUGACAUGUGCACCUCUAGAGUUGAAAUGCUAUAGAAUACUGUAUGGGAGUAUUUCAGUGUCGACUAGCAUGACUAGGGAUGUGGUAAUAUUACUAAGAAAAAUUUUAAAUAGUAAAUUUUUACUGUAUUUCAGCUAAUUGAUGUAUAAAAUUUUUUACUCCUUGAUUUUCACUGAAUUUAAAGGCCAAAAUUUCAAUAACAAUCUAUGAG
rnacentral:lncRNA from 1 species